UACGUAGGGUGCAAGCGUUGUCCGGAAUUAUUGGGCGUAAAGAGCUCGUAGGCGGUUUGUUGCGUCGGCUGUGAAAUCCCGAGGCUCAACCUCGGGUCUGCAGUCGAUACGAGCAAACUAGAGUGUUGCAGGGGAGACUGGAAUUCCUGGUGUAGCGGUGAAAUGCGCAGAUAUCAGGAGGAACACCGGUGGCGAAGGCGGGGUCUCGUGGGGCAACAACUGACCGCUGAGGAGCGAAAGCGUGGGGAGCGAACAGG
rnacentral:rRNA from 1 species